rnacentral:tRNA from 1 species
GCGCCCAUAGCUCAGUUGGAUAGAGCGUUUGUUUGCGGAACAAAAGGUCAGAGGUUCGAAUCCCCUUGGGCGCACCA